CCAAUAGCGUAUAUUAAAGUUGUUGCAGUUAAAAAGCUCGUAGUUGAACUUCGGGAUCAAGGGAUCGGUCAUGCCUUGGUAUGUACUGGUCUUGUUGGUUCUCACAUUCUAAAGAACCAUAAUGUCAUUCAUUUGAUGUUAUGGGGAAUUAGGACUGUUACCUUGAAAAAAUUAGAGUGUUUAAAGCAGGCUCACGCUUGAAUACAUUAGCAUGGAAUAAUGAAAUAGGACAUCCGAUUCUAUUUUGUUGGUUUCUAGGAUCGAUGUAAUGAGUAAUAGGGAUAGUUGGGGGCAUUAGUAUUCAAUUGUCAGAGGUGAAAUUCUUGGAUUUAUUGAAGACUAACUACUGCGAAAGCAUUUGCCAAGGAUGUUUUCAUUAAUCAAGAACGAAAGUUAGGGGAUCGAAGACGAUCAGAUACCGUCGUAGUCUUAACCAUAAACUAUGCCGACUAGGGAUCGGAUGAUGUUAAUUUUUUAAUGACUCAUUCGGCACCUUACG
rnacentral:rRNA from 1 species